GGUGGACUCGCACCUCUUAUGCCUGCAAUUGAAGCUUCUCAAUUGAAGAAAAAGCCUCCUCCUCUCGAAAAGGUCUCUUGGCAGUGGCUUCCUUUCGCUAGUUCUGCUCGUAAAGAUAAUCUUCACCUCUAUCAUUGGGUACGAGUUGUCAACGGU